rnacentral:tRNA from 1 species
CGGGGACUAGGGAAACGGAUUAACCCGCUUGGCCUGGGACCAAGAGAAUCUCGGUUCAAAUCCGAGGUCCCCGACCA